AUUGAACGCUGGCGGCAGGCUUAACACAUGCAAGUCGAGCGGGGUGAUGGUGCUUGCACUAUCACUUAGCGGCGGACGGGUGAGUAAUGCUUAGGAAUCUGCCUAUUAGUGGGGGACAACAUCUCGAAAGGGAUGCUAAUACCGCAUACGUCCUACGGGAGAAAGCAGGGGAUCACUUGUGACCUUGCGCUAAUAGAUGAGCCUAAGUCGGAUUAGCUAGUUGGUGGGGUAAAGGCCUACCAAGGCGGCGAUCUGUAGCGGGUCUGAGAGGAUGAUCCGGCACACUGGGACUGGGACACGGCCCAGACUCCUACGGGAGGCAGCAGUGGGGAAUAUUGGACAAUGGGGGGAACCCUGAUCCAGCCAUGCCGCGUGUGUGAAGAAGGCCUUAUGGUUGUAAAGCACUUUAAGCGAGGAGGAGGCUCUUUUGGUUAAUACCCAAGAUGAGUGGACGUUACUCGCAGAAUAAGCACCGGCUAACUCUUUGCCAGCCGCCGCAGUAA
rnacentral:rRNA from 1 species